rnacentral:rRNA from 1 species
AUUGAACGCUGGCGGCAUGCCUUACACAUGCAAGUCGGACGGCAGCGCGGGUUUCGGCCUGGCGGCGAGUGGCGAACGGGUGAGUAAGACAUCGGAACGUGUCCUGGAGUGGGGGAUAGCCCGGCGAAAGCCGGAUUAAUACCGCAUACGCUCUGAGGAGGAAAGCGGGGGACCUUAGGGCCUCGCGCUCAAGGGGCGGCCGAUGGCAGAUUAGCUAGUUGGUAGGGUAAAGGCCUACCAAGGCGACGAUCUGUAGCUGGUCUGAGAGGACGACCAGCCACACUGGGACUGAGACACGGCCCAGACUCCUACGGGAGGCAGCAGUGGGGAAUUUUGGACAAUGGGGGCAACCCUGAUCCAGCAAUGCCGCGUGUGUGAAGAAGGCCUUCGGGUUGUAAAGCACUUUUGUCCGGAAAGAAAACGGCCUGGCUAAUACCUGGGCUGGAUGACGGUACCGGAAGAAUAAGCACCGGCUAACUA